rnacentral:rRNA from 1 species
UACGUAGGGGGCAAGCGUUGUCCGGAUUUAUUGGGCGUAAAGAGCGUGUAGGCGGCCUGGAAGGUCAGCUGUGAAAACUCGAGGCUCAACCUCGAGACGUCGGUUGAAACCACCUGGCUAGAGUCCGGAAGAGGAGAGUGGAAUUCCCGGUGUAGCGGUGAAAUGCGCAGAUAUCGGGAAGAACACCCGUGGCGAAGGCGGCUCUCUGGGCCGAUACUGACGCUGAGGAGCGAAAGCGUGGGGAGCAAACAGG